UACAGAGGUCUCAAGCGUUGUUCGGAUUCAUUGGGCGUAAAGGGUGCGUAGGCGGCGCGGUAAGUCGGGUGUGAAAUCUCGGAGCUUAACUUCGAAACUGCAUUCGAUACUGCCGUGCUUGAGGACUGGAGAGGAGACUGGAAUUUACGGUGUAGCGGUGAAAUGCGUAGAUAUCGUAAGGAAGACCAGUGGCGAAGGCGGGUCUCUGGACAGUACCUGACGCUGAGGCACGAAGGUCAGGGGAGCAAACGGG
rnacentral:rRNA from 1 species